CCUACGGGAGGCAGCAGUGGGGAAUAUUGGACAAUGGGGGCAAUCCUGAUCCAGCCAUGCCGCGUGUGUGAAGAAGGCCCUCGGGUUGUAAAGCACUUUCAGUGAGGAAGAACGCCUGGUGGUUAAUACCCAUCAGGAAAGACAUCACUCACAGAAGAAGCACCGGCUAACUCCGUGCCAGCAGCCGCGGUAAUACGGAGGGUGCGAGCGUUAAUCGGAAUUACUGGGCGUAAAGCGCGCGUAGGUGGCUUGAUAAGCCGGUUGUGAAAGCCCCGGGCUCAACCUGGGAACGGCAUCCGGAACUGUCAAGCUAGAGUGCAGGAGAGGAAGGUAGAAUUCCCGGUGUAGCGGUGAAAUGCGUAGAGAUCGGGAGGAAUACCAGUGGCGAAGGCGGCCUUCUGGACUGACACUGACACUGAGGUGCGAAAGCGUGGGUAGCAAACAGGAUUAGAUACCCCGGUAGUC
rnacentral:rRNA from 1 species